UGCAGUAGUGGAUUCAACUGUUGGUCUGAGAGGACGUCCAAGGUUUGCAAUUGAAAGAGAAGAGUUAGCAGAGAUGCUGCAGACAAACCUUCCUGUCCAUUACAUUGCAAAAAUGAUUGGUGUUUCCACAAGAACCAUCUUUAGAAGGAUGAACGAGUUUGGCCUUUCGAUCUCAGGGAUGUAUAGCUGCAUCACUGAUGAGGAGUUGGAUAACCUUGUGAGAAGCAUUAAGGAUGAUAUGCCUGUUGCUGGUUACAGAAUGGUCAGAGGGAGGUUGUUGUCUUUAGGAAUGCGUGUGCAAUGGCAGAGAAUAGCUGCCUCAAUGCACUGCGUUGAUUCAAUUGGAAUCCUUUCGAGAUUGGCCAGGUUGGGAUGUGUGGUGCGGCGAACGUACUCAGUUAGAGGGCCCCUUUCCCUUGUGCACAUAGACACAAAUCGAUACGAUACAACAUUGUAAUAUUUGGUGGUGUGGAUGGUUAUUCCAGGAAGGUCAUGUACUUAAAAGCAGCAACUAACAACCGGGCAUCGACAGCAUACCACUUCUUCUCAGAAGCAGUCCAGACAUUUGGCUUACCAUCUAGGGUCAGGGGAGACCAAGGAGUGGAGAAUGUACAGAUAGCCAGGUUCAUGUUUUCUUCAAGAGGCACGGACCGAGGAAGUUUCAUAUCCGGGAAAAGUGUCCAUAAUCAAAGGAUUGACCAUGGUGACUAACAAGUACUCGGACACACUGCACUCCCUACAGGCAGAAGGAUUGAUGGACUUAUCAGUGGUCGAGGACCUUUUCAGUGUGCACUACACUUUUCUCCAAAGACUUCAGGCAGACUUGGACACAUUUUCCGAAGCCUGGAAUCAUCAUCCACUCUCCUCAGAGGGCAAUCGAAGUCCAGAGCAAUUGUGGCAGAUUGGAAUGAUGCACAUAAAUAUUGACCCAUCGGAGAGAUACGAGGACAUGGAAGAGCCAGAUCUAGACUGGGCAAAGCAGCUUCUUAUGAUGCCUGUGAAGAUUUCGGAGUUGUUGUUCCUGAAUUUGAAAGCCCUUUGUGUUCAGAUGGGUUGAGGGCUCUCGAACACCUGCUUAAUUCCACUGGUCCCAAUAUCCCGGUUAAAGAACUGUAUUUGCUUUGUCGGAAGUUUGUUUCAACAAAUAUGGUGUAAUAAUUUAACAAAACACACCAAUCAAGCAUAAAGACAGUACUGCAGCUAACAGCUUUAUUUUGCAUUGAAGCCUACUGUAUAUUGUUAUACAUUUUCAUUUCCAAAUUGAGUUUUGGAACGAUACAGCAGCAAUCUUUGCUGCAUUUUUUUGCAAUGCAUGUCAAUGAUAAGCAAAACUAAAUAAUAAUAAAAAAAGCUGCAUUUAA